GAUGAACGCUAGCUACAGGCUUAACACAUGCAAGUCGAGGGGCAGCAUUUUAGUUUGCUUGCAAACUGAAGAUGGCGACCGGCGCACGGGUGAGUAACACGUAUCCAACCUGCCGAUAACUCCGGAAUAGCCUUUCGAAAGAAAGAUUAAUACCGGAUAGUAUACGAAUAUCGCAUGAUAUUUUUAUUAAAGAAUUUCGGUUAUCGAUGGGGAUGCGUUCCAUUAGUUUGUUGGCGGGGUAACGGCCCACCAAGACUACGAUGGAUAGGGGUUCUGAGAGGAAGGUCCCCCACAUUGGAACUGAGACACGGUCCAAACUCCUACGGGAGGCAGCAGUGAGGAAUAUUGGUCAAUGGGCGAGAGCCUGAACCAGCCAAGUAGCGUGAAGGAUGAAGGCUCUAUGGGUCGUAAACUUCUUUUAUAUGGGAAUAAAGUUUUCCACGUGUGGAAUUUUGUAUGUACCAUAUGAAUAAGGAUCGGCUAACUCCGUGCCAGCAGCCGCGGUAAUACGGAGGAUCCGAGCGUUAUCCGGAUUUAUUGGGUUUAAAGGGAGCGUAGGUGGAUUGUUAAGUCAGUUGUGAAAGUUUGCGGCUCAACCGUAAAAUUGCAGUUGAAACUGGGAGUCUUGAGUACAGUAGAGGUGGGCGGAAUUCGUGGUGUAGCGGUGAAAUGCUUAGAUAUCACGAAGAACUCCGAUUGCGAAGGCAGCUCACUAGACUGUCACUGACACUGAUGCUCGAAAGUGUGGGUAUCAAACAGGAUUAGAUACCCUGGUAGUCCACACAGUAAACGAUGAAUACUCGCUGUUUGCGAUAUACAGUAAGCGGCCAAGCGAAAGCAUUAAGUAUUCCACCUGGGGAGUACGCCGGCAACGGUGAAACUCAAAGGAAUUGACGGGGGCCCGCACAAGCGGAGGAACAUGUGGUUUAAUUCGAUGAUACGCGAGGAACCUUACCCGGGCUUAAAUUGCAACAGAAUAUAUUGGAAACAGUAUAGCCGUAAGGCUGUUGUGAAGGUGCUGCAUGGUUGUCGUCAGCUCGUGCCGUGAGGUGUCGGCUUAAGUGCCAUAACGAGCGCAACCCUUAUCUUUAGUUACUAACAGGUCAUGCUGAGGACUCUAGAGAGACUGCCGUCGUAAGAUGUGAGGAAGGUGGGGAUGACGUCAAAUCAGCACGGCCCUUACGUCCGGGGCUACACACGUGUUACAAUGGGGGGUACAGAAGGCGGCUACCUGGUGACAGGAUGCUAAUCCCAAAAACCUCUCUCAGUUCGGAUCGAAGUCUGCAACCCGACUUCGUGAAGCUGGAUUCGCUAGUAAUCGCGCAUCAGCCAUGGCGCGGUGAAUACGUUCCCGGGCCU
rnacentral:rRNA from 1 species